CGUUCUACCUUCACAUUUUAAUAUUCCCCCGAUGCCACCAGCGAGCUACAGCCACUGGCCAUGUUGACAUCACAAACUGAUCCGAUCUCACCAAGUUUCAAGUAACACGAUGAUUCUCAGGUUUAUUUUAUUUUUACUGGUCAUGGCGCGUCGGGACUUUCCUGUAUUCCAGUUACACAGUGACUCAAGCGUUGUCGCCUGAGAACGCGGGAGCGAAAGUAAAGACUGUUCUGAUGAUGUGCCUGAUGGUGAGCUCGUCGUGCAUCCACGCCAUACCCUUGGAGAAGUACCCCCGACUCAGCCUCGCCAGCACCAUACUCAGCAUCCCUUCACAAGUGAACACGAUCGUAUUUAUGCAUCGAUACGUCGAACCUGUUUUCAACGACCUCAAGAUAGUUGUGCUCUUGCGUCUCAUCUCUCUGGUCUCCGUUCUAGAAACCAUAUUCCUGAUUCGCGCAGAUUUUACCAGAUUGUAGUAAUAUUGAUUCAAUAUUUCUGAACAAAUAUGAAUAUACAAAGAUGGAUCAGGGAGAAAUUAGGACUGUUUGGGUUCGUUUACAAAAACUUGAAAUAUGUUAUUAUACGAAAUUUAUUGAAUAUCCAUAGGGUAUAAAAUCUAAAACGUUAGUUUCCUAUAUCUUUAUUACAAAGUGCAUGAAGUUAACAAUUAUAAAUUAUACCUUAUACUAAGAGUCGAGCUUAACAAUAUCUCAUUGUAAAUUGAAAUCAGAAAGCUCUGUUGAACAAUUCUACUAUAAUUGAAUAAUACAAUAAAUAAUAAUCCGAUAUUGCACUGUGUUCAACAUCAGUUAUUAUUUUUAUAAAAUAAUAUAUGAAAUAUAACUAAACCAAAGUACACUGUUUUUAUAAAAAUAAGAGAAUAAUAAAUACCUUUAAAUAAG
rnacentral:lncRNA from 1 species